rnacentral:tRNA from 1 species
AGGGGUGUAGCUCAGUUGGUAGAGUCCUGGUCUCCAAAACCAGUUGUCGCAGGUUCGAGCCCUGUCGCCCCUG